UACAGAGACCUCAAGUGUUAUCCGGAUUUAUUGGGCGUAAAGCGUCCGCAGAUUGUUUGACGGGUCAGGGGUUAAAAUCCAAUGCUUAACAUUGGAAUUGCCUUUGAAACUAUCAAACUAGAGGGUGGAAGAGGUGAGCGGGAUUGCAAGUGUAGUCGUAAUAAGCGUUGAUAUCUGCAAGAACACCAAAGGCUAAAGCAGCUCACUAGUACACAUCUGACGUUCAUGGACGAAAGCGUGGGGAGCAAACAGGAUUAGAACCGGUACC
rnacentral:rRNA from 1 species